AGAAACUAAAAAAGAAAAGAAGCCCACCCCGAACGGCACAAAAUAGGAAAAAAGAAAACCCACCCCAUCUUCCCCGUCUUGCCGUCGACGCCCCACAUCCGGCACCCCGCCGCCGGCCACCUGACCUCCCGGCGCCCCGGCUUCUUGACCCGCCGCCAGCCACCUCACCAUGCCCCUGGUUCUUUCCCUGCCACCUCCCUGCGGCCCAACUUCUUUCCUGCCUCCGGCCUCCUCCUCGCGCCCCGGCUUCUUCCCGGCCGCCGGCCUCCUCCUCGCGACCCAGCUUCUUCCCCGCUGCCGGCCUCCUCCUCUCGCCCCGGCUUCUUCCCCGUCGCCGGCCUCCUCCUCUAUCCCCGGCUUCUUCCCCGCCGUCGGCCUCCUCGUCGCGUCUCGGCUUCUUCCCCGCCGGAGCGGCCAACCACAAGAUCCGGUCGCCACAUCCCCAUGACGCCCCCAGCAACGGCGCCCGGACCUCGACACCACCUGGCUCGGGGGACUCCAAGUCCCGGCGCUGCCGACCCCUGCACUACCUCAUCCGGCGACGAUACGCGCCAUCACUCUGCCUCGUUCUGGUGGGGGGUCCAUGCCACUGCGUCAGUCCAAUACUGUCGCCGCAAGCCGGUCACAUCCGCAACGACCAGGCCGGCUGCCCUGCGCCUCAGCCCCCCGUAUGCACGCCACCAAGUGCCUCUGUGCACUACCCCUGCCUCCCCCAUCAGGUUGCAGCCCGAGCCAUACGGUGCCGCAUCUUGUUGAGCUAACUGCCUUGCCGUGGUUCCAGCGGUACACAGGAGGAUGGAUGCCCUGGUGCUGUACGUCCAGUUUUGUCAGGUUUUGAUGGCGAUGCUCUUCUGCUCAUGACGCUGGAGCCCUAGUGCCCCACUACACAUGAAACGAGAGACCUGUACAGAGGUUCACCUAAAAAAAGGCUAGCAGUUCUUCCCAAAGAGACAACAGUUCUAAGAAAAGAAGGUAGGAAAAAAAGGGUAGCUCAACGUACAAAAAAUUGGAGGUUUAGAGACCACAAACAAAGACGAAAACAAUUUCAGUGGCACAAUCAGUUUAGUUUCUAAUUUUAGUUCAGUUCAAUUAUUAUUUUUAGUUCCGUUCAGUUCAAUAUUGUCAAUGAACAGAUACACAUACAAAUAAGAAAUUAUAUUCAUUUAUUUGGUACAGACUUAGUUAUUAUUUUUGGAGACCAGAAAUAUCAGUUCAGUUAUUUUAUCAUUUUGUACCGAUUCCACUCAUUGUAUGAACUGGUGCAUCACCAUGGAAGUAAAAAAAGGAAGGAAACAUCAGUCCAGCUACUAGACGUGGAGGUGAUUUUCUAUCUAAAUAUCCAGCAGGAGCUGCAGCUGGUGAGCGUCUGUGCCCUGCUGAUUGCGUGCAAGUACGAAGAGAUUUGGGCUCCAGAGGUGAACGACUUCAUAUUGUUCUCCGACAACACAUAUACUAGGGAGCAGAUUCUGAGGAUGGAGAAGGCAAUCCUGAACAUGCUUGAGUGGAACCUGACAGUGCCCACACCUUACGUCUUCCUCGUGUGAUUCGCCAAGGCCGCAUCCUACUGAGAUAAGAAGAACGGCAAGGAGAGCACUGUCUUUUUUUUCGUGGAGCUGGCGCUGCUGCAGUAUGGACAGGAAUAGUGUGUUGAUGUCGAGCACAACACAGAGACAAGGUUAGAAAGUUCAACAUGUGAUUGGAAUUCAGUGCGAAAAACUGCAGGGUACAUCCAACGACAACGAGUAGGCGACAAGUGUAUGUGUGAGCAGCCGGAUAGUAGCAUGAAGCAGUUGAGUAGCUGUCCGUGCAUAAGAACUCAGCGUGUGUGGUUGCCAAUGAGCUCUCCUACACAGUGGUCGCCCAUGAAAAAAAGGUUCAUGUCUAGCUACAUGGAGAGUUCCAAAAAACAGAAUUUAGAAAGUCCAAACCUCCAAAGAAAGUUCUUUAACAGUAAAGAAAGCCUUUGUGUUUAUAUAUUUGUGAUUUGAGCUAUGUGAGAGUUCAUAUUGUAAGAUUAUGGUGUUUGUUUUAAAGUUCAAAUUAGUAAAAGCCGUGAGGUUCACACACUGCCACGGUGAAAGUUUGUGAAUUUGGUAUAUAAAAAAGAGAAGUGUUCAUAUUGUA